UACCGAGGGGGCAAGCGUUAUUCGGAAUUACUGGGCGUAAAGAGCGCGCAGGCGGUCGUUCAAGUCGCGUGUGAAAGCCCCCGGCUCAACUGGGGAGGGUCACGCGAUACUGAUCGACUCGAAGGCAGGAGAGGGAAGUGGAAUUCCCGGUGUAGUGGUGAAAUGCGUAGAUAUCGGGAGGAACACCAGUGGCGAAGGCGACUUCCUGGCCUGUUCUUGACGCUGAGGCGCGAAAGCUAGGGGAGCAAACGGG
rnacentral:rRNA from 1 species